rnacentral:rRNA from 1 species
CCUACGGGCGGCAGCAGUGGGGAAUAUUGGGCAAUGGGCGCAAGCCUGAUCCAGCAACGCCGCGUGAAGGAAGAAGGCUUUCGGGUUGUAAACUUCUUUUCUCAGGGACGAAGCAAGUGUAGGUAACCGAGGAAUACGCCACGGCUAACUACGUGCCAGCCGCCGCGGUAAUACGUGGGUGGCAAGCGUUAUCCGGAUUUGGUGGGUGGAAAGGGCGUGUAGGCGGGGAGGCAAGUAAGAUGUGAAAACCACGGGCUCAACCUGUGGCCUGCUUUUGAAUCUGUGUGACGUGAGUACUGGAGGGGCAGACGGAAUUCCUGGUGUAGCGGUGAAAUGCGUAGAUAUUAGGAGGAACACCAGUGGCGAAGGCGGUCUGCUGGACAGCAACUGACGCUGAGGCGCGAAAGCGUGGGGAGCAAACAGGAUUAGAUACCCCUGUAGUC